AUGGCAUGCCACGGCAUCCUUGGCGCAACGAGAAGGUGGGUGCGCCAACCACAGGGCCCUAGGCUACGGCUCUGGCAUGAUCAUCGCGAGACCAAUGGCGCCCACGCGAGCCCAGAGUCUUGCCUCCUCUCGAAUCUCAUUGACGGCGCGGCUGACAGAGGGGUGGUGGCCGUCGAAGAUGCAUCCGUUCCGAUGCUUCCAGAGCCACCAGGCUGUGAGGAUGGCAAUGGAGGCGAGCCCACGGCGAAGGCAGCGCGGGGUGGCGGCAAGGGCGGAGUGAAGCCAGGUGGGGAAGUCGUCGUCUUGUCCCGGUGGCGCGGCCGUGGAGCGGCACCAAGAGAGGAUAUCAUGCCAAACUUGGCGGGAGAAGGAGCAGCCGGAGAGGAGGUGCUGCAUUGUCUCCGGUUCCUGGUCACACAGGAUGCAAGUGGGCUCGUGAGGUAA
rnacentral:rRNA from 1 species